rnacentral:rRNA from 1 species
UCGCCCCGCGUGUGUUGACGAAUAGGUGUAGCUGGUUUUCCGCCCGCGCUGCCUUGUGCGUGAGCGGCUCCUAGGCAGGGCGAGGGCAAGGGUCGCCUUUGCGUGCGCAGCGACACAACACAACGACACCUUCGCUGCCCGCCUGCCCGCCUGUGUGGCACACCGACGGAGCCGAAGCGGACGUAGACGUACCACACACACUCGAAAGGGACGUGGGUGCCGAGAGGGAGGGAGAGGGGAGAGGAAAUAUUCGAGGGUGGGUUCGAAAGUGAAGUGGAGGUGGUGUUAAGAGUGCCAGAGCGGAGGGAACGCGCGGGGAAGGGAACAAGUAGCCAGCGGAGUGGCGUCAGGUCGUUAGGAGCGAACGACAAAGAGGAAGGUGUGAAAGAAGGAACCACUUCAUCUUCAGCUCGGCCGGCUAGGAUAGGUCUAUAGGUGAGGUUCGAGCAGAGAAGUUAGGUUUCGUUUUGUUUCUAGGUCCUCUUUGCCGGCUGGCCCUGUAGAGGGUUCGAUUUCUUUGGGACGAAGGAAGAAUCGGAGACGAGACAAGAACGGGCACUUGUGGUGCUCAUGGUUCGUGGCUCUUUGAUUCUCUCCUUCCUCCUCCUCCUUCUUCCAAGAGACAUGACUAGCUCUCGCCCCCCAAAACUAGAACCGAUCGCUCUUACGCCGUCUAGAGCAGCUACGACGUCCCCGACCGGGCGAGGUACAGAGACCCCUUCCUCUCCUUCCUCCGCCUCCUCGGCGUCCCCUGCCACGACGCCAGCAGCCCCUGCGAGACCCCGCUCCCGAGGCUCUGGAAGCGGCGCCACACGAGGGCGGCGCCGCUCUUCCCGUGGUUGGUCCUGUGGAGGUAGCAGACCCUCCACUCAAACGGCCGGCGACGAGACGAAGAAGGGACGAACGAGAGACUACGUACACCUACUUAAAAAUGCGACCAAUUACCAAUAGUGUUGUAUAAUGACCACCGCACAUCAGUUUCUAGUUGUUGUGGCGUGCCUCGAAGAACGGUGUGUUAAAUUAAGGGCGCAAGGUUUGUAUUUAAAGACGAUGAGCUCUCCGCCUUAACCAAGAUUUUUAACACCGGUUCUACUCUGCCGCUGUACCAGAGACAAGGUGUCUUUUACCACUCCCAUGUCGCAACCCUGAACCCUGAUCAGCGACCGAAGAAGAAGAGUAAAGACCGGUGUCUUCUUUAUUUAGUCAAAAGUACACGAACGGAACGCACACGUGCGUUAUUUUAUCUCUAACCUAGGGCAGAGGGAGGCAACAAAAUGGAUUGGUAAAAAGACUAUAAAAAUACUCACUCUACCAAGUCAAGCCAAAACACCAUCAUAAGCCAUGUCGGUUUGAUAACAAUCCGGUAAGUGGUCUAAUGCACAACGGAGAACUCUAGUACAACAAGUGUUCAAAGAACCUAUGCCGCGAACGGAAAACGGAGAUCCGCAAAGUAGGACAUCAUGAUCAUAGACGGUUUUUCUCCCUACCAUGCACAGAACUAAACAACCUCGCUUUUUCCACAACCCAAAGAACCAUAGACUUAGGUCUCAACGAAACCUGUCAAUAUUUGUGGAAUUUGUAUGACCAACGCUACCAGUUUAAACGAUAAAAAAGUCUGACGUUUAGGUAAUAUAAAGUAGUUAAAUGCUUUGUACAUUAAUUGGUAAAAAACAACCUAUUUUUUGGCUGUCAUUCAAUAGCCCAAUCUUUAUGCAGUUAGCCGAAUCUUUAUCUGUGAGGGAAUUUGACUUGAUCUAAUCUUUGUGCUCGAAUAAACUGAUAAGUCAAGGCGUUUUUACCUGUUGCUACCGGAUGGUCGUGUUUUUCCUGGCCGACCAAGUCAACGAACAGAGUUAAGCUAGUACAGUGAGGGGCGUUUUCUAUUUUAGAUAGUGCCGUGCGGCUUUAGAACCUAAACAUAAACAGUACGUGUCAUUUAAACGUGGGUAGCAAAGUGAUAGAAGUAAAGGAGAGCUAAAGCUAUUCUUUUCCUCUAAAGUUAUAAAAGCAAAGAAGAGCUAAAGAAUGCCGAGACAAACGAACACACAAGAGAACAGAUAGGUCCCUAUGCCCACGGUCCUGCUGUGGUAGAAGACGCCGCAGAAGCUGCCCGUGCCGGUCACCCCGGUGAUGCAGCGGUUCCGGCAGGCCCUCAGCGACGGCGUCAGCGAAGACACGGUGACCGUCCUUCGGCAGCGCGACUGCAGGGAGUAGCUGCCGCUCUUCUCCGAGUCGCUGACGGUCAAGCUGGAGGACUUCGUCAGGAUGGACCGGCGGCGGCGGCGGCACCUGCUCCUCGAGGCGGCUUCGGCCGCGGAGCUGCGGCAGUUGUCGCCGACGUGCCGAGACAGGUAGCAGUUCGUCCCGCUGGACUACCACCAGCGGUUGCAGCCGCUGAGCGCCCGGCAGGAACGCUGGUGCAGCCUGCUGCCCCUGCAGUGCCGGCAGGUCGAGUGGCAGCUGAAGUUCGGGCUGAAUGGGGUCCUCUUCCGCGCGUAGUGCGUCACGGUCCCGGCGCACGUGACGGAGCUGCUGCUCGGGCCGCACGUGGCCCACACCCACGGGGUGGCCCUCCGCGGCCCCGACCGGUACAGCGCGCGCAAGCCGCUGAUGACGCAGUUCCUGAUGCCGCAGUAGAGCCGCGGCCUCCACUGUGUCUCCUCCUAGUGGCGGGCCCUGGUCAAGCAGUAGGACCGGUGGCUGCCCCAGACCCUGCACGAGAGGUUGCUCCUCCGGCACGCCUAGCACCGCCGGUGCGGCCUGUCCCUCUUCCGCCGCUUCGCCGAGCAGCUCACGCGGCAGGCGCCCACCUCCGCGUUCGCCGCCCCGUAGCGGCAGCUGCUGACGAGCCGCCAGACGGAGAAGAAGGUGUGCGGCCGUGGGACUUGUUCGACGGGGAUCUCCGAUCUGACGCUAACGUAACGGCAGUCCUGCUCCCCUUUCGUUGGGCAGGUGAACGGCCAUCUAGUUAGCCACGCGCCGCAGCGGCAGCCUCUCUCUGAGCAAAGCCUGGUCUUCCACGUCAAGCUCGGUACUAACCCUGCGACGUGCUUACUGGCCCCGCCACCCAGUUGACGACGACCACCUAGUGGUUUUACAGGAGGCCAAAAGUGUGUGACGAACGGUUUUACAUGCUCCUAGUUGCUGCCGGUGAACGUUUCCCGUCUUCCUUGUUCUGCGUGAAACAGUAAUAAAGGCAGAACGUACAGAGAGCAACCGCACUUUUACCGGAUGCUCUCUGAUAAUACUUUUUUUUACAUAACCACAUGUACUACCCUUUUGCAGUGUUAACAACCAUAUGUAGUUACUGGUAUACAGGUAUUUAGUGUGGUUAUCGCACAGGAAGCCCAGGAGCAGCUUUGCUG